rnacentral:tRNA from 1 species
GAGGGUAUAGCUCAGUGGCAGAGCGCAUGCUUAGCAUGCACAGGGUCCUGAGUUCAAUCCCCAGUCCCUCC